CGUCACAUUCAGACGCUCCAUUUUGUUUUCAUUUGGAAGGCUGCCUUUCAGCGACAGAAAAACGAAGUGACGAAGAGUAAGAUCUUUUCCUGAGGAGGGGGGUGUUGCCUCUAACAUGAGUCUCUCUGAGGAACAACACACCAGCCAUGGAGCUAAGAGGUUGGAGGGAUCUAGCUCUAACAGGAGGUCACAAUCCCCAACCCCCACCUGUGUGUCCAUGAAGAGUGACCGGUCCAAUCAUCGAUUUAUCAACUUUACAGGAGGAGACUCUUCAACUGGACAGUAAGAUUAUCACUCUAGCGUGUGUGUGUGUGUGUGUGUGUAGCAGAAAGGAGCAGUGAGAGGAAAUUUGUCAUGAUGGAGAU
ensembl:lncRNA